GGCUAGUAUGACGGUUUAACAGGUAUAUUAUAUUUUUGUGAGGAGAUUGAAGUUUUGGUUUAAGUAAAAACACUUAAAUAUAUAAGGGGGACGAUAAGACCCUAAAAGGUUUAGAUUGUUUAUUAAGUUAGUUGAGGUUAGACAUUAAAUAUUAUUUUUGGCUGGGGCAGUCUUUUUAUUUAAUUUGAGAUUUUUGUCAACUUGGUUUUAGGUUUAAGGUCUUUUAUAUAAGGAAAAUUAGGUUAAGUUACUUUAGGGAUAACAGCGUAAUAUUUUUGGAUAGAUCUUAUUGAUAAAAAUGAUUGCGACCUCGAUGUUGAAUUAAAUAAUCCCUGGGGGGCAGAAGACUCAGAAGAAGGUUUGUUCAACCUUUGAAGAUUUACAUGAUUU
rnacentral:rRNA from 1 species